rnacentral:rRNA from 1 species
CAGCAGCCACGGGAAUACGUAGGGUGCGAGCGUUAAUCGGAAUUACUGGGCGUAAAGCGUGCGCAGGCGGUUUGUUAAGACAGAUGUGAAAUCCCCGGGCUUAACCUGGGAACUGCAUUUGUGACUGGCCGGCUAGAGUAUGGCAGAGGGAGGUGGAAUUCCACGUGUAGCAGUGAAAUGCGUAGAUAUGUGGAGGAAUACCGAUGGCGGAGGCAGCCCCCUGGGCCAAUACUGACGCUCAUGCACGAAAGCGUGGGGAGCAAACAGGAUUAGAUACCCCUGUAGUCCCUGUCUCUUAUAC